CUUAGACUUAGAUUAGAAGAAAAAAACGAGCCAGACUCUUCCACCCAUCCCGCCGACUACAUCUUCCCCACCGGGGGUCGCAGCCCUCCUCACUCCCUGGUCGUUGUGACGUGUACCGAUGCAACCAUCGGGCCCUCAUCUCCUUCCCAUGCCCCCAGGCGGAUGGCCGUGAGGAGGGCGAUUUCGGCGUCCUCAUCUCUUUCCCAGGGCGGUUACCAGGGCGGAGGACAUCAGCGCUUCUCUCCAUCAAGUGGCAGGGCGGCCAUGGGAGGAGCCGGCGUGGCCAGUGCUCGCGAAACCUGCAAGGAACUUCUUCCUGGAUGAGUACUGAUCGUCCAUGGACGCAGUGGGAGUGACCCCUGCCACUUCCCUUGCUCCAUGCUGCUGAGAUCUCCGGGGUCCCCAACCAAUUGUGGAUGACAAAAGAGUGGUGCUGUUGGUGCCUACCCAAUGGUAUCAUGGGUGGAGACUGAUGAAGUUGAUGUUAGCUUCAGGGAUAUCUAAUGGCAUCUUCGAUCUGAUUCACACAAAUGGAUGCAUUACGCAUAAUCACAAGAUAAAUUUGAUGGUUAAUUCCUGCCACAUUUAUAUCCUAAUUGUUAUGUUUAUCUUUAUAUUCCCUAUAUGAAAUUGCAGAAAUUGCUACAUAAUCAUGCAUUUAAAAUAUUCCCUUUUUAAUGUCCUCCUCUGCAUUUAUAGUUCAGAAAAAUGCUAACAAUUAUUUGCUGCUUCAAUACCCUAUUACAUUCUUUGGCAAAUUUAUUCACAAUAUAUCAGAUUCAGAAUUCUUCGUUGAUUUCUUAAGGCCUCAUGACGUCAGUGCUUUUACAAUAGAAGUGCACCAAGGUGUUGUAAUAGGAGAAUUAUCCUAACAUAGAGAACCUAUGUUUUAAGUAACAAGAGAAACUUUAUUAUAUCUACAUACGGCAUGCAUAUUUAUGGUAUGGAACUCUUCGCUUAAAGAUUGUUAGCGUUAGCUCGAUGCAAUUGAGACCAACCUUAUGAAAGGCUUGGAAUGUUAAUUUUAUUCCAAUUUAUAAGCCAAGCAAAAACGUUAAGAUUAAUAUGUGUAUUCCAGAUGUCAAUACUAAAAAUCAUUUCACUCUUCCUCUAUUGCGCUGCCAAAGCUUGGUCAUGGCUAGACUCAUAUGUGUCUGAAUGUUCUAGCAGAAGCAUGUCUCUGAAUUUGCUGGCAAGUGGUACAAACUACAGAAGGAGCUAUAAUAUUGUAAGUGGCCUUUGAUCACUUCGAUGAAAUGCCUAAUCAGGUGAUGUCACAGAAUUUGGCGCGCUAUGAUGGCCGACAUUCUUUUACCAGGUGAUUUAGCGCUUGGCUGCCGAUGGAUUUGGCAGUUGGCGGUGGCUUCACUCCUGGUUGAACUGGGCCUACCUGGGGGUAUGUGCGAUGGUCGCGUAUGGCAAGGUACCGCAGUCACCCACGCGUGAGCCCUCCGACAGGUAGGCUGUGAGCUGGAGGAGUGCUGACCAGAAGCCAAAGAAGAAGAAGAAACAAAUCAGAUCAAGUGUGCCUCCGAGACAAUCAAGUCGGACUGCGACACCACCGCUGUAAGGGAAAUGAGAGGUUAUUCAUCUCGAUGAGGCCCGCUUCCUCAACACGGACAAGGCUGGACCUUCAGCGACAUUGGAUGCAGCCCCUCUGUCUCUUACCUCCCCGUCCAAAAGACGACGAGAUCAUCGUCUUCUCCACAAUGAGGACGAUGCGGUCAAGUGUUUUCUGAAAUGCUACAGUUAGCUACUAAUUGGUUCUGUACUCAGUACAAUAAGUAAUUCCUUUUCUGUAAUUUCUGUUGCUAUGUAUGGCUGUGACCGAUGUACUAAAGACUACCUUCAUCUUACUGUGUUUCUCCGUAGUCACUACAGCUGAUAGUAAGUGAUGGUCUAUAUAUGUUCAGUUACUUUUGAAAUUUUGAA